GAUUAACGCUGGCGGCGUGCAUAACACAUGCAAGUCGAACGAUGAAACUUAGUAGACUUCUUCGGAAAGACACUAAGCGGAUUAGUGGCGAACGGGUGAGUAACGCGUGAGUAACCUGCCUUACACAGGGGGAUAGCCUUUGGAAACGAAGAAUAAUACCCUAUAAAACCAUAAAAGCACAUGCUAGAAUGGUCAAAGUGAUAGCGGUGUAAGAUGGACUUGCGUCUGAUUAGCUAGUUGGUGAGAUAAAAGCUCACCAAGGCAACGAUCAGUAGCCGGCGUGAGAGAGUGUACGGCCACAUUGGGACUGAGACACGGCCCAGACUCCUACGGGAGGCAGCAGUGGGGAAUUUUGCACAAUGGGGGAAACGCUGAUGCAGCGACGCCGCGUGAUUUAGCAGGCCUUCGGGUUGUAAAAAUCUUUUGUAUAGGAAGAAAAUGACAGUACUAUACGAAUAAGGUCCGGCUAAUUACGUG
rnacentral:rRNA from 1 species